AACGUCAUAUGUAUCUAUUGGAUAAAUAUAUGGGCAAAUUUUCCCUCUUGGGUGCAUGAAUCGAAAAAAUUUCUCAUCUUCCUGGAUGACUAUUAAAAAGGAUGGACAACUGAUCGCAAUGUAAUAUGUUGACUUCACUAUUCUCAAAAGACUACAACUCAAACAACAUGGUUUUGCUACCAUAGAAAGAGAAAUCAAUACAUAUCUAGUUUCAUUCCAUUGUUCUGGUGGAAGAAAAUGGUGCAGCUAUUCCUCAUUUUCAAGAGGCUUGGCAAUUUACUAAUUUUGGAGGAUAAACUUUGUUUUGAUACGAAUGACCUUGUGCUUUAUUUGGAAUUUGUGAUGGAAAAUGAUCUUGCUCGAAGCAAGAUAGGUGGAAGAAUUUGUGAUCUUAGUAUGGGCGGUGUAGGAAAUAUUACUCCCUCUUGCACUUUUUAUAAGGUAUAAAAAUAGCGUGGAAUUAGUCGUGGAUUGGCAUCACAAAAAAUAAUGAAUGCAAAUAAGAAUAAACUUAUUGUACAAACUAGAGGGAGAUAUAUGCUCAUUUGGUAAAGCAUUCUCUUUGCCAAUGAUAUUGACAUCAUGCGAAAUAUUGUCUCAUAGCGCUUUUUGGAGUGCAUCGACUGUCCAUGGUAGGGGAACGAGCCUACAAGCGUCUUAAUAAAGGCAGUGGAGUUGCAACAAUCACAAAAUUAGCUUGAGAAUGAUACACUUGUCAUGGAUGAAACAGUAAUACGUGCUCAAAUUCUUAGUAGGAGUUUUAAGACUUGCUCGGAUUGGACCUGGUCUGUGCAAGUUAAAUAGCAGCGCAUACACGGCUCUUUCUAGGUUUAUUACAGAGCUAAAAACCCUUAUGCAACGAGUCAAUGAGGAGGAUAAUGUUAUUAGAGAGUUUACACUACAUCUUGAAUAGCAUGCUUAUUCAAAACUUUGCUAGAAUUUGAGUUAGCAUCCUCCUACAAGGUCAACAAUGAUCCUCCACCACAGCUAUCAAUUGGUGCAGCAAUAGUUACCAAGAAAUUAUGGGAAGUUAUCUUUUUCUAGCAAAAUCUAUGCCCCUGUUUGUUUAUAUAAAAAUUAAAUUUUAGUAUAUUUUGAUAAAAAUUGAUGAAAUGUGUAGAUGAAAAGUUGUAGGAUUCUUGAAAUGUGUGGUUAAAAUUUAUUAUUGAUUUUAGAUUUUAAUAAGAUUUUUUAGUUGAACCAAA